AUAGAGUGCUCACUUUAGCAGCAGUAAAACUGAAAUGGUACAGAAGAUGGGCAUGGCUCCUGAGCAAGGAUGACAUGCAAAUUCGUGAAGUGCUCCUUAUGUAA